rnacentral:tRNA from 1 species
AAGGCUAUAGCUUAAUUGGCAAAGCAUACUGCUCAUGAUAGUUCUAUUAGGUGUUCAAGUCACCUUAGCCUUA